AGUUAAUGACUGAAAAAAAGAGAGGGAGAAUAGAGUAAGAGAAAGGCUCUUGGCCCUAGUCUUAGAGAGAGAAAGGCAUGAGAGAGAGAGAGAGAGAGAGAGUCAGUAUUGCUUACUUGUGAGACAGGGUUUAUCCCAUUUUAUAGUACAGUUCGAUGAGUGUGAGGACGCGCUGACUUCCAUAUCAAUGAAUAGGCGGCUGACCCAAUUAUGCCUUUAGGGCGUGAUUGGUAUCUAGCCCAUCACAUCAUCGGUGUUUAAGCUAAAGCUUGUGGGAGAAUGGUCUUUCGCUGUGGGCUUCAUAGUCCUAGUUUCUGAUCUCGCUGGUAGAAUGGUCUUUUCAGCUGCUGCAACUUUGGUAGUUAGUUAGCUUUGCUCGCAAAUUCACAUCCUCUCGGUUUUGUUUGGCAUUAAGAGUGUGACAAAGGUCUACACCGGAGGUGGAUCAGCAUGGUAGUACCCUUUGCUUGCCUAUAGCCACGGUUUUGUUGUUGUUGUGGCUCUCGACCUUAGUAACGUAAGAAGAUGCUUAUUUUCCUUUCAGGCUGCACCAAUAUGCGUCUUCUCAAAGGGUCGACCUUACCUCAAACGGCCCUUCACCAGCCUUAGGGGAUGGCAUUAUCAGGUUAUUGCCCACUAAUACCUGUUGCAGCUCUACCAUUUGAGCUAGUAUCAAUUUAAUGGCAACGUCUCGACUGUUCUCUUAGCCAUUAAGGAGUGACUGACCUAGCCUCUGCCUAGAAGAACCCUUGGCCGCCCUUUAAGUAUCGGACAAUAGUUUAUUCCCUCUCUCACUCGGUGUUCUGGGCACGAAAGAGUAUUCCCUUUUGGCUUUGUGACUGCCUCUACCGCCAUUUGUACUUUUAGAUGACAUUGAAACACUUGUGAUGACUUGGAUAGGCCAACGGUCGUCGGAGGUGGCGAAAAUGGAGGGCAUUGACGGCGGGAGUUCGAUGGGUCUGUCGUCGGCGAUGGUUGUAGUAAUGGUAGUGGUGGGUUCGGCGACUCGAGUAAGCCAUGGCUCAGGUCUAGUGCUGAGAUGGUUUUAGAGAG
rnacentral:lncRNA from 1 species